rnacentral:rRNA from 1 species
CUACGGGGGGCUCCAGUGAGGAAUAUUGCACAAUGGGGGGAACCCUGAUGCAGCAACGCCGCGUGGAGGAUGACGCAUCUCGGUGUGUAAACUCCUUUUAUAUGUCAAGAAAAUGACGGUAGCAUAUGAAUAAGCACCGGCUAACUCCGUGCCAGCAGCCGCGGUAAUACGGAGGGUGCAAGCGUUACUCGGAAUCACUGGGCGUAAAGGACGCGUAGGCGGGCUUGUAAGUCAGGUGUGAAAUCCUACAGCUUAACUGUAGAACUGCACUUGAAACUACGAGCCUAGAGUAUGGGAGGGGCAGAUGGAAUUAGUGGUGUAGGGGUAAAAUCCGUAGAUAUCACUAGGAAUACCUAAAGCGAAGGCGAUCUGCUGGAACAUAACUGACGCUAAGGCGUGAAAGCGUGGGGAGCAAACAGGAUUAGAUACCCUAGUAGUC